rnacentral:rRNA from 1 species
AAUCAACGCUGGCGGCGUGCCUCAGACAUGCAAGUCGAACGAGAAAGUUCCCUUCGGGGAAUGAGUAAAGUGGCGCACGGGUGAGUAACACGUAGGUAAUCUACCUUCGGGUGGGGAAUAACCCAGGGAAACUUGGGCUAACACCGCAUAAUGCAGCGGCACCACAUGGUGACAGUUGUUAAAGCGGGGGAUUUUAGGACCUCGCGCCUGAAGAGGAGCCUGCGGCGGAUUAGCNGUUGGUAAGGUAACGGCUUACCAAGGCGACGAUCCGUAGCCGGCCUGAGGAGGGCGGUCGGCCACACUGACACUGACAUACGGGUCAGACUCCUACGGGAGGCAGCAGUCGGGAAUUUUGGGCAAUGGGCGAAAGCCUGACCCAGCAACGCCGC